GACUACAUAGCUCUACACAACUCCAGUCUAAUUAACUGAUAUGGUACACCUUCUACACUCUGGCCAGAUCCUCAGGCAAGAGUUCCAAUCAAGAUUAGAACUUCAGUCAAGAACUUCAAUCAAGCAUCUCCCACCAAACAGAGACUGGGUACAAAUGUUGUACCCAGUUCACUUGAGACUUUCACUACAGUAACAUUUGCUUCCUAUAGGAUCCCAUGAAGUUAUCAUUGUCCCAUUUCAGAAGGAAGUAAUUUUGAGAAUACUACAACCCCUAUCCAUAUUCUUGAUAUCACAGGAUAAUUUAUACCUGUUAGAAUUAGUUUUCAAUUGUUCAGGAUUGGGAUUGGAAGGUGGUGUUCAGACUUGGGCAUCUCUUUCAGAUAAUGUUAGGGUUUGGAUGGGAUAUAUAUGCUUAGGAUAGGAUACAGGUAAAUUACAAUUUAUCAUCUUCUAUGUAUAUAUGCUUCAUAUAUGUUGAACAUUUUGUAUAUUAACACAACUUAGCUUGUUUCAUUAGAGCCAGUAGGGUAGACUGCCGUGGCUGGAAUCCAGAGCAACCUGAAGGCUUGGAGUGUUUAAAUUUAAUGCAGAGCAUAUUUUAGGCUGUUUCAGGCUUUUAUUUUCUUAUUUUUAAUGGGCACUUCAUUUCUAAGAGCACCUCUCUAAUAACAUACAGAUAUUUUAUUGUAAGAAAGUCUUAAUGCACUAAUAUUUGUUAGAGUAGUAUUAGAUCAUCUGGAAUACUCUCCCCACUCAAUAUUAGGAAGACUGAACUCAACUUGGAUUUACAAAUGCCCAUCUUUCAUACAGUACUAGAUUGGGUGAAUAGCAUAAAGUUUGUGGUUUAUUACAAAUAAUAUUUAAGGAUUGAUUUUGAGCUGUAUUGAAACAGGAGUCUUAAAAUAUGCUGUAGGUAUCAAAUUCUCAUAGGAAACACAGCCCUGAGCUUGCAAUAUCAUAUUAUUGGAAUGAAGAAACUAUCCUCCUAUACAUAAAGAUGCAUUGAAGACAUGGUUUCUUUAUGAGUCCCACAUAGAGCUUCACUUUGAAAUAGCAGGAGGAUAUAAAUUCACAUCCAAGAAGUCAUGUGAAAAGCCAGACAUGCUGGUGAACCUUGGAACAGAAUCUCUGGGAGUUGCAGACAGGAUGAUCCCUGAUGGUCACUUUCCAAUCAGUGUAGCCAAAGCAGCAAGCUCCAAGAUAAAUAAGGGACUCUGCCUCAAAAAUUAAGUGUUUUCAACAUGAGCUCUUGAUACACGGAAAACCUCCCUAUGACUCCUUGCUGUUGGGCCUCCUCCUUGAAGCAGAAGUGUGAUUCACAGCUCCCUCUCUAGCAGUAGAUCUCACCAGCACUCUUGGACACUUUGGCCUGUGCUCCGGCAGUGCUGACAGCACCCCCUCCGCAAUCCCUGACUCAGCUGGUCUGAUACGAAAAGAGCAUACCUCCAAGUGACUACAGUCAAACUGGACAAAACAAGAUACAAUAUCAAAGCAAAAGCCCUCAUACUGAAGAAGGGUCAUUUGAGGUACACAACAGGCCCACUUAUUUCUGCCUGUGAGGGCCAACCUACUUCUGUGGCUAUUUUCCACUGAGAUGGCUUCUGUGUGCAUAGGGACCAUGGGCUUCAACAAGGAUAUGUCUCCAUAGGGACCAAAGGAUUAGACAAUGAGACAUCUCCAUCUUGGACCAACACCAUCGGAGUCUCACAAGAUGGUACACUGUUUGAAGAGAAAAAAUAGGGGAUAUCUUGAGAAAACAGGGAUGGAGGUAUGGCUCAACGAAUUCUCUCUGAAUCCGUCAGGUGAAGGAAUAGUCAGGAUGAUACAGAACCAUCUUCAGCAUCAUGACCUAACAAUCAAGAAACUUGUGAAUACCCUGGCAUUUUCUAAGCACUUUAUUUUCAUUCUAAUGUUUAUUUAAUUUCUGAGCAUGUUUUUGACUAGAACACAUUUUCAUAAAACUUUUUCAGAGAGUGCAGAUUCUAUCUCCUCUCUGGAGAGGUCUAUAGAACAGGCAAAACAGCCCGGUAUGCUUUCCCAAAGGUACCUGCUUAGGGUCCACAUGCCCUGACACACUGAGGAAGUCAAAGGACAACAAUGAUCUUGAGACACCCAAGGAAUCACUGGCCACUUGACUUUAGUCACAAUGGGUUUGGAUUCUCGAUUUUCUGAGAGUAAGUAUGGUUUAAAAUUCUAACCAAGUGACUUCCUAGUUUUGUACACACAACCAAGCUACCCCCACCAUUCUUGCAUUUAUAAACAGAGGAUUUUAAUUUCCACUUAAAGAUGAAAAAUAAAUUUAAAGAUGAUUUUUUUAAUUUUCAAAGUUAAAGGUUUAAAGAGGAAAAUGAAGUUAUGUGAAAUACCUAGCCUCCCCAUUAAUCAAAUGCCUUUAUGUAAAUGCUGAAAACUUAGAAUAUACUAUGCAGAAAGUGUGUAAGUUUCUGCACCUAGAACUCAAAGAGAUUGUUUUGCUUAGUAAUACAUGGUAACUCAGUAGAUGGGGGUUUUGCCACCAAGACUGGUGAUCUGGUACAAGCAGUGAAUGGUAUUCCACAGGUGGUCAUCUGAUAGCCCCAUGCGUGUGUGGGACCAAAAUACAAGACCCUAUGAAAAUAGGUAAAUUCCAAAAUGCAGGCUGUAUGCUUGUGUUUUGUCAUGAAAAGAGUCUUAGAGGUAGUACACCAGAAAAUAGUAGCAACACAUUUAGCUAUAUUUGCACUCAAUGGCUUAAAUUCCUGGCCACAGUGCUCCAUGCCCCCCAUUUAUACUCUAAGAACGAGUCAGGUUGUUUAGAAACAUCUGGGCACCAUCUUCAUCAGUCCUAAGCAGUGCUGCUCUGAGAAGUGUUUUGUUUGCUUCAAUUAGUAUUCUGAGUGACACCCUCUGUUCCCACAGCCUGUCCUGUAACUGCACAGCCACAAGGAGCACAGGGGCAAUGCAGUUAGAUGGAAUCUGUUCAAACUGCCUGCUGGAGACAAUGCUAGCAAUUUCAUUUGUGGUCUAUUAGUGAAACGGGCGGCACUAAUUCAUUUCACAGAAGGAACUCGACAGCUGUCAGAUGGCUGGGAAUGUAACCGUACAUAUGACAAUGUAGCUAUGCCAAGUAGGUGCUUUUCCCUGGUGUGGUUUGAGACCAUAACAUGCCCUGUGUCCUUUGAAAACCAUACCAUGGAUCUGGUCACAUUUGCCCUUGGAUAGUACCAUCAAGACAAUACAAAGCAUGCAGUUUGGCUCUCAGCUGUCAAUCCAUCACAUUCAAGGUGGCAAGAUUUAGGGAAGAUGCAGUGAACUCUAUAUGUCCUAUGAAACUUGGUCCCUGUGCCACCAGCUAAAAAGUAUUCCAUCCUGUUCACCACAUUCCUCUUGAUAAGUCUUUUCAUCUCCAUUUUCUGGGCAGUGGUGAGAUAGAAGAAAGGAACUCGAUCACUCUGAAAAGUUUACUUCCUUUUUCUUUUCUCCUAUAUGUAUGUGUGCAGGGACAUGUGAGUGCAUACACAUGUUCCCAUGAAGGAAGUCUUCUCGGAUCUUCUUCUAUCACUCUCCACCUGGUUCUCUGAGGGCGGGUUUUUAACAGAAGCCAGAUUGUGCCAAUUCUAGUCCCCCUUGUCACCUGACCAGGGGUUCCGCUAUCUACCUCCACCUCGUGAGGCUGGGAUAGCAAGUGUGCUGCUACAGGCACCUGACAUUUACCUGGAUGCUGAGGGUCUGAACCAUGGUCCUCUUGCUUAUGUGAUUAUGUGACAAGGACUUUAAAUACUGAGACCAAUCCCCAAACCACUAAGUCUAAGGAGCACUUUGAGCCUACAGUCCCAACGUGACCAGUAUAGGUGGUCAACAUGCUUCUGAAAGGAAAGCAGGAGUAGCAAACCUAGGAUUAGGAAUUCAAGGUAGACACAAAAAGUCCCGUUCAUCCUUCCUUCCUCAUGCCUCUGGAGGAUUCUGACAUGGUCUGUGCAUCUGAACGACACCAGGAGAAGCAUCCAAUGUCCAGUGAAAUAAGAAGCAAGUAGAUUCACUCAAACUCCCCAGUCAUCUGGUAUCUGGAGAAGACAUCUCACAAAGCUGACUGACCUGCUGGCCACACCACAACUAUUAACCAGCCUAGAGGACACCACUGGUCUGGGUUCCUGUUAGGAGAAGCCUUCCCGCCAGCCAGGUCCCAGAGCUACAUCAGGCCCAAAUGAACACACAGGAUGCUAUAUUAAUUAUGAAGCUAUUGGCCUUGCUUGUUUCUUACUGGC